UACGGGGGGAGCAAGCGUUGUUCGGAUUUACUGGGCGUAAAGGGCGCGUAGGCGGCCAUCGCAGUCCGACUGUGAAAUCUCCGGGCUUAACCCGGAAAGGCCAGCCGAUACUGCGGGGCUAGAGUGCAGAAGGGGCAACUGGAAUUCUCGGUGUAGCGGUGAAAUGCGUAGAUAUCGGGAGGAACACCUGCGGCGAAGGCGGGUUGCUGGGCUGACACUGACGCUGAUGCGCGAAAGCUAGGGGAGCGAACGGG
rnacentral:rRNA from 1 species